AACGCACAUUGCGCCCGCCAGUAUUCUGGCGGGCAUGCCUGUUCGAGCGUCAUUUCAACCAUCAAGCCCCAGGCUUGUGUUGGGGCACUGCGGCUGCCGCAGGCCCCUAAAAGCAGUGGCGGACUCGCUGUCAUACCGAGCGCAGUAGCAUAUCUCGCUCAGGGCGUGGCGGCGGGCACCGGCCGUAAAACACCUACACCUAAGGUUGACCUCGGAUCAGGUAGGAAUACCCGCUGAACUUAA
rnacentral:misc_RNA from 1 species